rnacentral:lncRNA from 1 species
CUGCCGGGCGACUCUGGCUGCGCCGGACUGCCGGGCGACUCUGGCUGCGCCGGACUGGCGGGCGACUCUGGCUGCGCCGGACUGGCGGGCGACUCUGGCUGCGCCGGACUGGCGGGCGACUCUGGCUGCGCCGGACUGGCGGGCGACUCUGGCUGCGCCGGACUGGCGGGCGACUCUGGCUGCGCCGGACUGGCGGGCGACUCUGGCUGCGCCGGACUGGCGGGCGACUCUGGCUGCGCCGGACUGGCGGGCGUCUCUGUCGGUUCCGGACUGUGGGCCGUCUCUGUCGGUUCCGGACUGUGGGCCGUCUCUGUCGGUUCCGGACUGUAGGACGUCGCCAAAAGCACUGGACGGGGAACUGUCGCCGGAAGCUCUAGUCGGGGCACUGUCGGCGGAAGCUCUAGAUGGGGCACUGUUGCCGGAAGCUCUAGACGGGGCACUGUCGCCGGAAGCUCUAGACGGGGACUGCGCACUGAAGGCCUGAUGCAUGGGACUGGCAUUGGAGGCGCCAGACUAGUGACAUGCACCACAGGGCUAGUGCGAGGAGUAGGAACAGGACGUACUGGACUGGGCAGGCGCACUAAAGGCCUUGUGCGUGGGACUGGCUUUGGAGGCGCCAGACUAGUGACAUGCACCACAGGGCUAGUGCGAGGAGCAGGAACAGGACGUACCAGACUGGGCAGGCGCACUAAAAGCCUGAUGCGUGGUGCUGGCUUUGGAGGCGCCAGAACAAUAACACGCACUACAGGGCUAGUGCGAGGAGCAGGAACAGGAUACACCGGGUCUUGAAAAUGCACUGGAGGUCUGGAGCACACAGCCUGCACAACCCCUUCUGGCUGGCUUGUCAGCGUAGCCCUGCACGGGCAGAGUGCUGGCACAGGGCGAACUGGGCUUUGCUGAGGACUGAUGGUUGCCGUGCGUAGAGCAGGCGCAGGGUAGACUGGGCCUAGGAAACGCACUGGUGGCCAGAUGUGCUGCGCCGGCGCACUUCUCCCUGGCUGGAUGCCCACUCUAGCACGGCACUUGCGGGGAACUGGUAUCGACCGCACCGGGCUUUGACUGCGUCUCGGAAAUACAGUGCGCAUUUCCGCAUAGCUCGGUGCCUUCUUGAUCAGUUGCUCCCCAUAAUAAGCACGGGGAGUUGGCUCAGGUCUAUUGACUGACUUAGCCAAUCUCCCCGUGUGGGCUGCUUCUCAGGCUUCCUUGCCAGCCGUGUUCCGGCAUAACGUUCCCGGUCCUCUCCAGCCUUCCUCCAUGGUCCUUCUCCAGCUAGUAUCUCCUCCCAUGUCCAGGACUCGAGAUAACUCUCCUGUUGCUCCUUCCUCCGCUGCUUGGUCCUUUCUUGGUGGGUAGUUCUGUCAUAAUCAUCGUAGUGAGCGGACCAAAACGCAGCGGGUAUAUGUAUGCUCAUCUUCUUUUAUUGAAGAAAACAAAAACAAAAACACUUAUACUAAACAAACGACGAAAAACAGUCCUGUAAGGUUCACUGACAAUACACGGAGACAGCUACCCACAAAACCCAUGGAAAAACACCGAGGAACUGCUGCGUCCAAUUGAAGGUCAGCCCAAGAAACUGAAACAUAGAAAUAGACACACUAGAACAAACAUAAAAAUAUACUAACAUAGAACAUAAACCAAAACCCCCGAAACACAUAAAACAAACACCCCCUGCCACGCCCUGACCAAACUACAAUAACAAAUAACCCCCUUUACUGGUCAGGACGUGACAGGGACAAACACCAACUUAAAUAUGACCUCCAAUUAGAGACAACAAUGACCAGCUGCCUCUAAUUGGAGAUCAUCUCAAACAAAGCCCAACAUAGAAAUACAAAAACUAGAACAACCCAACAUAGAAAUACAAAACUAGAACAUAACAUAGAAGAAAACUCAACUAGAAAACCCCCCUGUCACGCCCUGACCUACUCUACCAUAGAAAAUAACAGCUUACCAUGGUCAGGACGUGACAGUACCCCCCCCCCGAAGGUGCAGAGUCCGAAUGCAACUAAAAAAUUAAAAAGGGAGGGUAGGGAGGGAGGGUAACAAGUGUCUAUGGCGGCUCUGGUGCAGUACACAGAACCUUAUCAUCCAGCGAAUCCUCCAGUAGAGGAGGCGGCUCUGGUUCGGGGCGUAACCCUCGCUCCGCCCGCUGAUCCCUCCGCUUUUGCAUCACUCACCGGACCGUGGAUCAUCACCGGAGGUUCUAGACUGUAGACUGCCGUCGGAGGUUCUAGACUGCAGACCGCCGCCUGCGGGACAUCGCCGGAGGCUCCAGACUGCGGGCCAUCUCAGGAGGCUCCGGACUGCGGGCCGUCUCAGGAGGCUCCGGACUGCGGGCCGUCUCAGGAGGCUCCGGACUGCGGGCCGUCUCAGGAGGCUCCGGACUGUAGAAUGUCGCCGGAAGCUCCGGACUGGGAACUGUCGCCGGAAGCUCUGGACUGGGAAUGCGCACUGGAGGCCUGAUGCGUGGGGCUGGCAUAGGUGGCGCCAGACUAGUAACACGCAUCUCAUGGCGAGUGCGGGGAGCAGGAACACGACACCCCGGACUGGGCAGGUGCACUGGAGGCCUGAUGCAUGGGGCUGGCAUAGGUGGCGCCAGACUGGUAACACGCACCUCAGGGCAAGUGCGGGGAGCAGGAACAGGGCGUACCAGGCUGGAUAGACUCACUGGAGGCCGGGUACGUGGGGCAGGCACAGGAUAUACUGGACAGUGGAGGCGCACUGGAGGUCUCGAGCGUAGAGCUGGCACAACCCGUCCUGGCUGGAUGCUUACUUUCGCCCGGCAAACGCGGGGUGCGGGCACAGGACGCACUGGGCUGUGAAUACGCACUGGUGACACAGUGCGCAGCGCCAGAGCAGGAUAUCCUGGACCGAGAAGGCGAACUGGAGACCAGGAGCGCUGAGCUGGCACCACCCUUCCUGGCUGAAUGCUCAACCUAGCUCGGCAAAUGCGGGGCGCGGGCACAGAUCACACCGGACUGUGAAUCAUCACCGCAUAACACGGUGCUUGCUUCUUCACUUGCUCCCCACGGUAAGCACGGGGAAUUGGCUCAGGUCUCCACCCUGACUCUGCCAAUCUCCCCGUGUGCCCCCCCCAAAAACAUAUGACCUCCAAUUAGAGACAACGAUGACCAGCUGCCUCUAAUUGGAGAUCAUCUCAAACAAAGCCCAACAUAGAAAUACAAAAACUAGAACAACCCAACAUAGAAAUACAAAACUAGAACAUAACAACAUAGAAAAAACUAAACUAGAAAACCCCCCGUCACGCCCUGACCUACUCUACCAUAGAAAAUAACAGCUUACCAUGGUCAGGACGUGACAGUUUGUAGGUGAGUCCAGUUGUGUACUGACAGGGGUCACGUUUUAUAUUGAAAGUGAACAGUGUUUUUUUGGUUUAAUCCAUUGAUCAGGGACAUGCAACUAUAGUUUCCUUCACAGAAAAUACAUUAGUGCAACAUAUUCAGCAGAAAAUAGCUUCAUUGUUAUCAGAUGACAACAGAAGUGCAACACUAUUUGGCUGGCAGCUACACAAGUAAAUGGUAGCCACCUACAUAUUAGCCACCUACAUUUGCUAAUGUUUUGAUUAAAGUUAUUCUUGCGUUUUACUGGAAAGAAGUAGGCUGGCUACACGGAGAAAAGUAGCUACACCAGGCAGAGCGUUGUCUGCUGGAAGAAUGCCUGUCAGUAGCGGUGCUUGGGUAAAAUCCCCAGAGAAGCCAAUCCAGAAGAAGUAAAAAGCCAUAUUACAACCUAUGUGUUGUGAUAACUGCGUUGUUUGCUCUAUAACCUGUUAGUUCAUAUGCCUUGACACAUAUUGCAUGUAACAAACAGUUACCUGACCGUCAGCAUGGUCAAGCAAGGUAAUGUUUUUGACAUUUUCGAACUACUAAAUAACUAUUGAUUUAGAACCAUGGAGAGUUACCGCAAGUCGCAAAUAAAACAGGAGCUGCCUCCACUAUUCCAGCACCAUUUCAACUUCAACAUAAUCACCUAUGUUUAGUCCAAUAUAGUGACAACUAAAAGAUCUAAAAAACUAUUUUGUCCAAUCAACGUGAGCUAAAUAUGAUGUGGCUGUCCAUGGUACUGAUUUCUGUGUUUAUGUUGCCUAAACGGUCUAUGACUCUGUCAUGAUACAGUACAUGCUUUUCGUUUCUGUUGUCCUAAGCUACCUGACUAAAAUACUUGCUCGCCUGCCUAACUUCCUUUCAUGGGCAACAUUAGGUAGUUAACCAUAACCUUAACCUUAAACUAGUUACAAUUAAUAUUAAACUUCUACAUUGCCAUUACAAUCAUUGGCCAGUACGGAGAAUUAAGUAAAACAUGUCCAAAUCCCUAUCUCCAUCCAUGGCUAAUUUAGGAAAGGGCCAAUUUUAGCUAGCUAGCCACUGGAUGACAACAACACCACCAACAACACCACGAGAUGAAACGAUUCAGUUUGUUUCUGUCAAUGACAUAUGCCCUCAAUGUGAUUUGAUAGGAGUGACGCUAAAUCCAAAUUGGAUUCCCUUUACUCUUUUUUUUGGUGCGCCAGGACCAUUCACAGUUGAGCUCUGUGGUGGCUAAUUUCUGCAUUACCAAAUGAGGAGAGUUAAACACACCAGUCCGAUUUAACUACAUCUUUAAUACUUAAGAUACUUUUGCAAAAGCCUCUUUGACCUUCAAUAAUGCACUCUCUCAAAUGAACCAGGAAGGUGAUUACACAAUGGCUACAGAGAUAUUUUAUAGCAAAGAUACACCCCCUUCAACGUACAUUGACAAACCACAGAUCUUAGUAACAGUUCACAAAGGUUAAGUUUUAUAUGACAGAUAUCCAUAAAACACAGCAGACAGUAACUGCUAUGUCAACAGGGUUCAUUAUAUAGACCAGUAUCUGGUCCCCUUAGAACUGUCCCUCCCUGGUACGGUAUUGAACAGAACCAUUAGCUCAUGUCCUCUGGAAUGCUUUUUAGGCCUUCUUAUCAAAAUACAUCAUACAUUUCCUUUGUCAGUGCUAUCUCAUAGUGGCCCAUCCUCAGUAAAACACCUCUUGUUCCCACUCCUGGACAAGCUCACUGAGAGGGGAGUGACCUGCGCACAGACAUUGUGGAGACAAAUAAUUGGUUCCCCAUUAAUCACGCCAUCCCUUCACAUGGUUUAAGAAUAGGUAAAGACACAUUCACAUGAAGACAAUAUCAUUCUGUCCUCCUCUCUUGCUGAUAUUCUGCAUAGCAACAGAGACAUGUAAAAAACAAGUCUGACCUCUCCCCUCUCUGGGCCCCAAGUGCCUGAACCCCAGCUAAGGGAAACGUGCAACUGAAACAUACCAGAGUCCAAAGGACACUUUCUAAUGACAAGUAUCUCUCACAAGCAUAUUAUACUAAUAAAACAUCUUAAUCAUCUAUGUUACCCAACUCAUUCUGAUUCAUCCACGACAGCUCACACAGAUUAGCUCAACGCUGAUUGGCUAUUAUUUUAUACUUUUUUUCAGGGGAGGCCAAAUGCUCGUCAACAAAAAGUGUCAAGGGAUGCCAGUUCCAUGCUACAGGCGGCAACAAUGCUACAAGCGGCAACAACGUCAUACUCUUUUGGACCAGACAGCAUCAGAUAUGGUGCUCUGUAUGGCCUACACAUACAGAGAGGCGCUGUUCCUUCAAUUCAGCCUGUUGCGAAUUGAAGGAAAGUCAUGAAACAGAGAGACGACAGAUGGGGGGGGCUGGAUUCUCCUGGCAUUCCUGAAUACACGCCACUACCUGAUCGUGAAUUUUCAUCCUAGUGGAGAAAUUAAACUGAAGCACAAAAUGUGUUUGAUGCCGAGCAGAAAAUACAAUAAGAAGCAUUUGAGAUCUGCUUUUACAAAACGCAGCAAGAUUUCUUAUGCAUUUUAUAUUUAUUUCCUGUGUGAAAAUGGCACCGGAGAAGAAGGCAAACUUUUUACGUGCCCCCAACCGAUUGUGUUUUUUUGUUUGUUUAUUUGCGUUGUUUGUAACUUAUUUUUUUACUUAUUUUGUACAUAAUGUUGCAGCUACUGUCUCUUAUGACCGAAACUAACUUCUGGACUGUCACGUGUGCGCCCUCUCCAGCCUCUAGGUCAUCAGGCUGCUCAUUAUCCUGCACACUUGUCACUAUCGCCAUGCACCUCAUGACACUCUUCUGGUCUCCAUUACCUCCUUGAUUAUCUUCCCUAUAUCUCUCACUCCCCUCGGUUCUUUCCUUAGGUGUUAUUGUUUCAUGUUUGUGCGUUGCUUGUGUUUCUUGUUUUGUAUUAUGUUUCGUUUAUUGAUUAAAUCACUCACUCCCUGAACAUGCUUCCCGACUCUCAAUUCAUCGUUAAUGAAUAACGCCUCAUCUAAGGAAAGCAUUGGGGAGUGUUUUUGGGGGGUUUUUUGUGUCAGAGUAAAGACGUCGGUUCUGGGAGCCGUUACAGGCUCUCAAGCCUCAGCCAGAUCGCCAGGCUCCCCUGCCUCUGCCGGCUCGAUGGGCUUUCAUGCCUCCGCCGGAUCACCUGGCUCCCCUGCCUCGUCGGGCUUUGAUGCCUUUGCCGGAUCGUCAGGCUCCCCUGCUUCCACCGGCUCAUCAGGCUCUCAUGCCUCAGCCGGAUCGCCAAGCUCUCAUGCCUCAGCUGGAUCGCCAGGCUCCCCUGCCUCAGCCGGUCUGUCAGGUUCCCGCGCCCCAGCCGGCUACAGGUUUCCGCGCAUCAUCAUGGGUGACCGUCCGCUCUUGAUCCCCGGGAUCGUCCCUUGGGUUGGCGUCCUGCGGCUGGAGCUGAACGCACCGGGAGGGGGUACUGUCACGCAUGCUCUCUCUCCGGCAAUCUAGGUUGCCAUGCUCCCGCGCUUCAGCCGGAUUGACAGGUUCCCGUGCCUCAGCAGAGGUGACCAGCAGGAUGCUAUUAUCCCGCACACCUGUCACCAUCGUCAUGCGCCUCAUGACACACCUGGUCUCCAUCACCUCCUUGAUUAUCUUCGCUAUAUCUGUCACUCCCCUUGGUUCUUUCCUUAGGUGUUAUUGUUUCUGUUUCAUGUCUGUGCGUUGUUCGUGUUUCUUGUUAUGUUUAGUUUAUUGAUUAAAUCACUCACUAACUGAACUUGCUUCCCGACUCUCAGUCGUACCAGCAGGUAAGACAAGGGGUGGGCUAUGUAUUUAUGUAAAUUACAGCUGGUGCACGAUAUCUAAGGAAGUCUUGAGCUAAUGCUCGCCUGAGGUAGAGUAUCUCAUGAGAAGCUGUAGACCACACUAUCUACCUAGAGAAUUUUCAUCUGUAUUUUUCAUAGAUGUUUACAUACCACCACAGUCAGAGGCUGGCACUAAGACAGCAUUGAAUGAGCUGUAUUCCGCCAUAAACAAACAAGAAAACGUUCACCCAGAGGCGGCGCUCCUAGUAGCCGGGGACUUUAAUGCAGGGAAACUUAAAUCCGUUUUAGCAAAUUUCUAUCAGCAUGUUAAAUGUGCAACCAGAGGAAAACAAACUCUGGACCACCUUUACUCCACACACAGAGAUGCAUACAAAGCUCUCCCUCGCCCUCCAUUUGGUAAAUCUGACCAUAACAAGCAAAAAUUAACGCAGGAGGCACCGGUGACGAGAUCAAUAAAAAAGUGGUCAGAUGAAACAGAUACUAAGCUACAGGACUGUUUUGCUAGCACAGACUGGAAUAUAUUCUGGGAUUCCUGCAAUGGCAUUGAGGAGUACAUCACAUCAGUCAUUGGCUUCAUUAAUAAGUGCAUCGAUGACGUCGUCUCCACAGUGACCGUACUUACAUACCCCAACCAGAAGCCAUGGAUUACAGGCAACAUCCGCACUGAGCUAAAGGGUAGAGCUGCCACUUCAAAGAGCGGGACUCUAACCCGAAAGCUUAUAAGAAAUCCCGCUAUGCCCCCUGAUGAACCAUCAAACAGGCAAAGCUUCAAUACAGGACUAAGAUUGAAUUGUACUACACCGGCUCUGACACUCGUCGGAUGUGUCAGGGCUUGCAAACCAUUACAGACUACAUAGGGAAGCACAGCCAACUGCUGCCCAGUGACACGAGUGUACCAAACGAACUAAACUACUUAUAUGCUCGCUUCGAGGCAAAUAACACUGAAACAUGCAUGAGAGCACCAGCUGUUCCGGAAGACUGUGUGAUCACGCUCUACGCAGCCGAUGUGAGCAAGACCUUUAAACAGGUCAACAUUCACAAGGCCACAGGGCCAGACAGAUUACCAGGACGUGUACUCCGAGCAUGCGCUGACCAACUGGCAAGUGUCUUCACUGAUAUUUUCAGCCUCUCCUGUCUGAGUCUGUAAUACCAACAUGUUUUAAGCAGACCACCAUAGUGCCUGUGCCCAAGAACACUAAGCUAACCUGCCUAAAUGACUACCAACCCGUAGCACUUACGUCUGUAGCCAUGAAGUGCUUUGAAACGCUGGUAAUGGCUCGCAUCAACACCAUUAUCCCAGAAACCCUAAACCGACUCCAAUUUGGAUACCGCCCCAACAGAUCCACAGAUGAUGCCAUCUCUACUGCACUCCACACUGCCCUUUCCCACCUGGACAAAAGGAACACCUAUGUGAGAAUGCUAUUCAUUGACUACAGCUCAGCGUUCAACACCAUAGUGCCCUCAAAGCUCAGCAAGAAGCUAAGGACCCUGGGACUAAACACUUCCCUCUGCAACAGAAUUCCUGGACUUCCUAACGGGCUGCCCCCAGGUAGUAAGGGUAGGUAACAACACAUCUGCCAUGCUGCUCCUCAACACAGGGGCCCCUCAAGGUUGUGUGCUCAGUCCCCUCCUGUACUCCCUGUUCACUCAUGACUGCACGGCCAGGCACUACUCCAACACCAUCAUUAAGUUUGCCGAUGACACAACAGUGGUAGGCCUGAUCACCGACAACGACGAGACAGCCUAUAGCGAAGAGGUCAGAGACCUGGCCGUGUGGUGCCAGGACAACAACCUUUCCCUCAACGUGAUCAAGACAAAGGAGAUGAUUGUGGACUACAGGAAAAAGAGGACCGUACAUGCCCCCAUUCUCAUCGACUGGGCUGCAGUGGAGCAGGUUGAGAGCUUCAAGUUCCUUGGUGUCCACAUCACCAACAAACUAACAUGGUCCAAGCACAUCAAGGGAGUCGUGAAGAGGACACAACAAAACCUAUUCCCCCUCAGGAGACUGAAAAGAUUUGGGUCCUCAGAUCCUCAAAAAGGUUCCACAGCUGCACCAUCGAGAGCAUCCUGACGGGUUGCAUCACUGCUUGGUAUGGCAACUGCUCGGGCUUCGACCGCAAGGCACUACAGAGGGUAGUGCGAACGGCCCAGUACAUCACUGGGGCCAAGCUUCCUGCCAUCCAGGACCUCUAUACCAAGCGGUGUCAGAGGAAGUCCCUAGAAAUUGUCAAAAGACUCCAGCCACCCUAGUCAUAGACUGUUCUCUCUGCUACCGGACGGCAAGCGGUACCGGAGCGCUAAGUUUAAGUCCAAGAGGCUUCUAAAUAGCUUCUACCCCCAAGCCAAAAGACUCCUGAACACCUAAUCAAAUGGCUACCCAGACUAUUUGCAUUCCCCCCCCCCUCUUUUACACCAUUGGUACUCUCUGUUGUUAUCAUCUAUGUAUAGUCACUUUAAUAACUCUCCAUACAUGUACAUAUUACCUCAACUAACCGGUGCCCCUGCACAUUGACUCUGUACCGAUAACCCCCUGUAUAUAGUCUCGCUAUUGUUAUUUUACCGGUGCGCUUUAAUUACUUGUUACUUUUAUUUCUUAUUCUUAUCUGUAUUUUUAAGAAUGCAUUGUUGGUUAGGGGCUCGUAAGUACCUGUUGUAUUCAGCGCAUGUGACUAAUAAAAUUUGAUUUGAUUUGAAAAACAAAGAUUCUCUGUUAACGUGACCCCUAAGUUUAACUUGCUAGUUAUCUAAGUAAGUGGCUGAAUUAAUAAGGUAAUGGGGCAUCAUAUUGUGUUAGCUUUCUGCCGUGUUUGAGAAGUCAAAGCCCUUUGGAUUAGUUAUCUGUACAGCUGCCACUGCAGCUUGAUUUCCUUGCAUUUUUCUCCUCUCUCUUCUGGGCCCAUCUGCUCCUCCCCCCAUCUUUUCUGAGCAGAGCAGGCAGGCCCGUUGCCCGAGUGACUCCAGACGCCACACAGACACAGCGUGUACUAAGGCUGUCCCCGACUUAAAAAAAAUCUUGGUCCGAGAGUUGUCUGUUCUUUCGAACAACAAAUUGUAAAACUUGUAUUGGCCUCCAGAGUGGCACAGCGGUCUAAGGCACUGCAGUGCUUGAGGCGUCACUACAGAUCCAGGUUCGAUCCCGGGCUGUGUCGCAACCAGUUCUACGGUGUUUCCUCUGACACACUGGUGCGGCUGGCUUCCGGGUUAAGCAAGCAGUGUGUCAAGAAGCAGUGCGGAUUGGCAGGGUCGUGUUUCAGAGGGCGAAUGGCUUUCGACCUUCGCAUCUCCGGAGUCCGUACGCGAGUUGCAAUGAUGGGAGAAUACUGUAACACCCAAUUGGAUAUCACGAAAAGGGGUAAAAUGUAAAAAAACUAAAAUAUUUGUACCUAUAUAGACACACCCUAUGUGGGUAGAUCCACAUUAAUAUUGCAGAUAGAUUGUGACUUCCAUCAAUGUAAUUGUCUGCAUCAUUUCCAAUCUCCCUUAUAUAUAUAUACUGUCCUUCAGAAAGUAUUCAGACCCCUUGACUUUUUCACAUUUUGUUACAUUACAGCUUUAUUCUAAAAUGUAUUAAAUAGUUUUUUUCCUCACACACAAUACCCCAUAAUGACUGAGCAAAAAUACGUUUUUAGAAAUGUUUGCUAAUUUAUAAAAAAUAAAUAAACUGAAAUAUCCCAGCAUGUGGGAACUCCUUCAAGACUGUUGGAAAAGCAUUCCAGGUGAAGCUGGUUGAGAGAAUGCCAAGAGUAUGUAAAGCUAUGAUCAAGACAAAGGGUGGCUACUUUGAAGAAUCUCAAAUUUAAAAUAGAUUUUGAUUUGUUUUACACUUUUUUGGUUACUACAUAAUUCCAUAUUUGUUAUUUCAUAGUUUUGAUGUCUUUACUAUUAUUCUAAAAUGUCGAAAAUAGUAAAAAAUAAAGAAAAACCCUGGAAUGAGUAGGUGUGUCCAAAUGUUUGACUGGUACUGUAAGUAUUCAGACCCUUUACUCAGUAUUAUGUUGAAACACCUUUGGCAGUGAUUACAGCAUUGAGUCUUCUUGGGUAUGACGCUACAAGAGGGGCACACCUGUAUCACACCUGUAUUUGGGGAGUUUCUCCCAUUCUUCUCUGCAGAUCCUCUCAAGCUCUGUCAGGUUAUUUUGGGAGCGUUGCUGCACAGCUAUUUUCAGGUGUCUCCAGAGAUGUUCGAUCAGGUUCAAGUCCGGGCUCUGGCUAGUCUUCCAGUCCCUGCCGCUGAAAAACAUCCCCACAGCAUGAUGCCACCACCAUGCUUUACCAAAGGGAUGGUGAAAGGUUUCCUUCAGACGUGAUGCUUGGCAUUCAGGCCAAAGAGUUCAAUCUUGGUUUCCUCAGACCAGAUCAUUUUGUUUCUCAUAGUCUGAGAGUUUAGGUGCCUGUUGGCAAACUCCAAGUGGGCUGUCAUGUGCCUUUUACUGAGGAGUGGCUUCCGUCUGGGCACUCUACCAUAAAGGCCGGAUAGGUGGAGUGCCGCAGAGAUGGUUGUCCUUCUGGAAGGUUCUCCCAUCUCCACAGAGGAACUCUAGAGCUCUGUCAGAGUGACCAUCGGGUUCUUAGUCACCUCCCUGACCAAGGCCCUUCUCUCCCGAUUGCUCAGUUUGGCAGGGCGGCCAGCUCUAGGAAGAGUCUUGGUGGUUCCAAACUUCUUCCAUUUAAGAAUAAUGGAGGCCACUGUGUUCUUGGGGACCUUCAAUGCUGCAGAAAUUUUUUGGUACCCUUCCCCAGAUCUGUUCCUCUACACAAUCCUGUCUCGGUGCUCUACGGACAAUUCCUUCGACCUCAUGGCUUGGUUUUUGCUCUGACAUGCACUGUCAAGUGUGGGACCUUAUAUAGACAGACGUGUGCCUUUCCAUGUCAUGUCCAAUCAAUGGAAUGUACCACAGGUGGACUCCAAUCAAGAUGUAGAAACAUCUCAAGGAUGAUCAAUGGAAACAGAAUGCAGCUGUGCUCAAUUUGGAGUCGUAUACCAAAGGGUCAUACUUAUGUGAAUAAGGUAUUUAUUUUUAAUAUUUUAAAUACAUUUGCAAAAAUGUCUAAAAACCUGUUUUUUUCUUCUUUUGGGGUAUUGUGUGUAGAUUUCUGAGAACUUUUAUUUAUUUAAUCUGUUUUAGAAUAAGGCUGCAACGUAACAAAUGUGGAAAAUGUCAAGGGGUCUGAAUACUUUCCUAAGGCACAAUAUUUUGAAAUAUUUAUAUAAUAUAUAUAUUUUUUAUAUUUUCCUUUAAGAUUUUCCCCUAACCCUACCACCCCUCCCCUAAUUGGAGUAAACUAGUGGACAAGAACACUUAGGCUUCUACCUCCAUCUUAUACAUACUAUUUACAUUUUACUGACACAGUAAAUUUUACAAUCGUUAUCUUUUGUUUGUUUUUAGUCCCAUCCUUUAGCUACCCUCAACCACUCCUAUGUAUCUCUGAAGACCAUCCAGUUUUGAUUUCUAUUUGCCAUACAUUGUCAACUGUGCUGUGACAUUUCACAAAAGUUCUGAACCUUUCUAUUCUCAGAGUAUCUAAAGAUUGUAAAUUGAAAUAAUAAUAAUACUCUUAGCAAAAAUGUUUAUAUUAUUGAUCGAUUGACUAGGACUUUUCAAAUCACCCAGUAGUGCUAUUUGCAGCUAACUCCAGGUAAAUGUUGCAAUUCUUCAGCCAUUCCUGAACCUAUGACCAAAAACAAGCUACAGUACCAAAACAAAUGAUCGAAUGAUUAUGUCUCUUCACAGCAAAACCUGCAGAGCUGGGAUGGUUGUAUCCCCCAUAUAUAUAUAUAACAUUCUAUUGGUUGCAAUAAUUUGUACAAUAAUUUAAAUGGAAAAAUUUGAAUCGUUUUGUGUAUCAGUUCAUAAACCAUGUGGCAUGGAAUCAGUACACUGAAAAUCUCUUACUAACUUUCUAAAUUUUUUGGUCCUUAAAUGAAACUGGUAUACUUGGUUAUUUAUCACAAUUUUGUUUAACCAAUUUUGGUCUUUAAUUAAUGCAGGGCCCACAGCCAAGUUCCUUACUUACUCCCCCUUCUGCUUGCCUCUUCCAUUUUGUGGUAGGGCUGCAAAAUUUUGAGUAAAGCAGUCAUUUACAUAUAUUUUUGUUAGCUGCAUGUGUGACAUAUCUCCACCAGUCCUAUUUAGGAUAUAAUUUACAAGGACUAUACUGUUUUUAAACAUUUUUUCCCCAGAAUAUAUUUUCUUUAUCAAUUAGAAUAUUUGAGUUUAACCAUAAUAUUAGUUGUAAUAUUUGUUCUGUCUUUUCUGGUGGAUUAAACUGAAAUUGCAACCAACUAUCUAUGGCUUCUUUUAAAAACAGCGAUAUUUUGGAGAUUAUUUCAAUUUCAAAUAACCGAAAGUGAGGGGUUGUAAUCUGAAUAAAGUGAAAAAAAGCCAUUCUUGAAUAUGGGGUGAGUCAGUCUUACUAAUCAAAUUGAAUCAAAUCAAAUGUUAUUUGUCACAUGCGCCAUAUACAAUAGGUGCAGAUCUUACAAUGAAAUGCUUACUUACAAGCCCUAACCAACAAUGCAGUUACAUUUUAUUUGAUUUGAAAUACCUUAAAAAAUAAGAAUAAGAAAUAAAAGUAACUAAUAAUUAAAGAGCAGCAGUAAAAUAACAAUAGUCAGGCUAUAUACAGGGGCUAGUGAGUCAAUGCGCGGGGACACCGGUUAAUCGAGGUAAUUGAGGUAAUAUGUACAUGUAUGGAGAGUUAUUAAAGUGACUAUGCAUAGAUAAUAACAGAGAGUAGCAGCAGUGUAAAAGAGGGGGGCAAUGCAAAUAGUCUGAGUAGCCAUUUCAUUAGAUGUUCAGAAGUCUUAUGGCUUGGGGGUAGAAGCUGUUUAGGAGCCUCUUGGACCUAGAGUUGGCGCUCCGGUACCGCUUGCCAUGAGGUAGCAGAGAGAACAGUCUAUGACUAGGUUGGCUGGAGUCUUUGAUAAUUUUUAGGGACUUCCUCUGACACCGCCUGGAAGAGAGGCCCUGGAUGACAGGAAGCUUGGCCCCAGAGAUGUACUGGGCCGUACGCACUACGCUCUGUAUUGCCUUGCAGUCAGAGGUCGAGCAGUUGCCAUAUAAGGCAGUGAUGCAACCCGUCCGGAUGCUCUCGAUGGUGCAGCUGUAGAACCUUUUGAGGAUCUGAGGACCCAAAUCUUUUCAGUCUCCUGAGGAGGAAUAGGUUUUGUCGUGCCUUCUUCAUCAAAUCAAAUCAAACGUAUUUAUAUAGCCCUUCUUACAUCAGCUGAUAUCUCAAAGUGCUGUACAGAAACCCAGCCUAAAUCCCCGAACAGCCAGCAAUGCAGGUGUAGAAGCACGGUGGCUAGGAAAAACUCCGUAGAAAGGCCAAAACCUAGGAAGAAACCUAGAGAGGAACCAGGCUAUGAGGGGGGGGGGGCAGUCCUCUUCUGGCUGUGCCGGGUGGAGAUUAUAACAGAACAUGGCCAAGAUGUUCAAAUGUUCAUAAAUGACCAGCAUGGUCAAAUAAUAAUAAUCACAGUAGUUGUCGAGGGUGCAACAAGUCAGCACCUCAAGAGUAAAUGUCAGUUGGCUUUUCAUAGCCGAUCAUUGGGAGUAUCUCUACCACUCCUGCUGUCUCUAGAGAGUUGAAAACAGCAGGUCUGGGACAGGUAGCACGUCCGGUGAACCGGUCAGGGUUCCAUUGCCGCAGGCAGAACAGUUAAAACUGGAGCAGCAGCAUGGCCAGGUGGACUGGGGACAGCAAGGAGUCAUCAUGUCAGGCAGUCCUGAGGCAUGGUCCUAGGGCUCAGGUCCUCUGAGAGAGAGAAAAAAAGAGAGAAAGAGAGAAAUAGAGAGAGCAUACUUAAAUUCACACAGGACACCGGAUAAGACUGGAGAAAUACUCCAGAUAUAACAGACUGACCCUAGCCCCCCGACACAUAAACUACUGCAGCAUAAAUACUGGAGGCUGAGACAGGAGGGGUCAGGAGACACUGUGGCCCCAUCCGACGAUACCCCCGGACAGGGCCAAACAGGAAGGAUAUAACCCCACCCACUUUCCAAAAGCACAGCCCCCACACCACUAGAGGGAUAUCUUCAACCACCAACUUACCAUCCUGAGACAAGGCCGAGUAUAGCCUACAAAGAUCUCCGCCACAGCACAGCCCAAGGGGGGGCGCCAACCCAGACAGGAAGACCACGUCAGUGACUCAACCCACUCAAGUGACGCACCCCUCCUAGGGACGGCAUGGAAGAACACCGAUAAGCCAGUGACUCAGCCCCUGUAAUAGGGUUAGAGGCAGAGAAUCCCAGUGGAGAGAGGGGAACCGGCCAGGCAGAGACAGCAAGGGCGGUUCAUUCAUGACUGUCUUGGUGUGCUUGGACCAUGUUAGUUUGUUGGUGAUGUGGACACCAAGGAACUUGAAGCUCUCAACCUGCUUCACUACAGCCUGGGGUCCUGCUCGGUCCUCCUUUUCCUGUAGUCCACAAUCAUCUCCUUUGUCUUGAUCACAUUGAGGGAGAGGUUGCUGUCCUGGCACCACUCGGCCAGGUCUUCUUUGACCUCUUCGCUAUAGGCUGUCUCGUCGUUGUGGGUGAUCAGGUCUACCACUGUUGCGUCAUCGGCAAACUUAAUGAUGGUGUUGGAGUAGUGCCUGGCCUUGCAGUCAUGAGUGAACAGGGAGUACAGGAGGGGGCUGAGCAUGCACCCCUGAGGGGCCCCUGUGUUGAGGAUCAGCUUGGCAGAUGUGUUGUUACCUACCCUUACUAGCAGGGGGUGGCUUGUCAGGAAGUCCAGGAUCCAGUUGCUGAGGGAGGUGUUUAGUCCCAGGGUCCUUAGCUUUGUGAUGAGCUAUGGCGGCAAUAUGGUGUUGAACGCUGAGCUGUAGUCAAUGAAUAGCAUUCUCACAUAGGUGUUCCUUUUGUCCAGGUGGGAAAGGGCAGUAUGGAGUGCAACAGAGAUUGCAUCAUCUGUGGAUCUGUUGGGGCGGUAUGCAAAUUGAGUGGGUCUAGCGUUUCUGGGAUAAUGGUGUUGAUGUGAGCCAUGGCCAGCCUUUCAAAGCACUUCAUGGCUACAGACGUGCGUGCUAUGGGUCGGUAGUCAGUUAGGCAGGUUGCCUUAGUGUUCUUGGGCACAGGGACUAUGGUGGUCUGCUUGAAACAUGUUGGUAUUACAGACUCAGACAGGGAGAGGUUGACAAUGUCAGUGAAGCCACAUGCCAGUUGGUCCACGCAUGCUCGGAGUGCACGUCCUGGUAAUCCGUCUGGGCGAGCAUAGAAGUAGCUUAGCUCGUCUGGUAUGCUCGUGUCACUGGGCAGCUCUCGGCUGUGCUUCCCUUUGUUGUCUCUAAUGGUUUGCAAGCCUUGACACAUCCGACGAGCAUCUGAGCCGGUGUAGUACAAUUCGAUCUUAGUCCUGUAUUGACGCUUUGCCUGUUUGAUGGUUCGUCUGAGGGCAUAGCGGGAUUUCUUAUAAGCUUCCAGGUUAGAGUCUCGCUCCUUGAAGCGGCAGCUCUACCCUUUAGCUCAGUGCGGAUGUUGCCUGUAAUAUAUGGCUUCUGGUUGGGGUAUGUACGUACGGUCACUGUGGGGACGACGUCAUCGAUGCAGUUAUUGAUGAUGCCAGUGACUAAUGUGGUGUACUCCUCAAAGCCAUCGGAGGAAUCCCGAAACAUACUCCAGUCUGUGCUAGCAAAACAGUCCUGUAGCUUAGUAUCUGUUUCAUCUGACCACUUUUUUAUUGCUUUAGUCACUGGUACUUCCUGCUUUAAUUUUUGCUUGUAAGCACGAAUCAGGAGGAUAGUAUUAUGGUCAGAUUUGCCAAAUGGAGGGUGAGGGAGAGCUUUGUACGCGUCUCUGUGUGUGGAGUAAAGGUGGUCUAGAGUUUUAUCCCCCUCUGGUUGCACAUUUAUUUGGAAAUUUGGUAAAAUGGAUUUAAGUUUCCUGCAUUAAAGUCCCCGGCCACUAGGAGCGCCGCCUCUGGAUGAGCGUUUUCCUGUUUGCUUUUGGCGGUAUACAGCUCAUUGAGUACGGUCUUUGUGCCAGCAUUGGUCUGUGGUGGUAUGUAGACAGCUGUGAAACAUACAGAGAUGAAAACUCUAGGUAGAUAGUGUGGUCAACAAUUUAUCAGAUACUCUACCUCAGACGAGCAAAACCUUGAGACUUCCUUAGAUAUGGUGCACCAGCUGUUGUUUACAAAUAUACAUAGACCCCCAACCCUUGUCUUACCAGAUGCUGCUGUUCUAUCCUGCCGAUACAGUGUAAAACCCGCCAGCUGUAUGUUGGUCAUGUCGGUGAAACAUAAGAUAUUACCAUUUUUAAUGUCCCGUUGGUAGUUUAAUCUUGCUCGCGGGUCAUCGAUUUUAUUUUCCAGAUAUUGCAUGUUUGACAAUGGAACGGAUUGCCAGUGGGGUUUUAUUCGCUCGCCUACGAAUUCUCAGAAGGCUGUCCGACCUCUGCCCCGUUUUUCUCCGUCUUCUCUUUAUGCAAAUGGCAGGGAUUUGGGCCUGUUCCCGGGAAAGCAGUAUAUCCUUCACGUCGGACUCGUUAAAGGAAAAGCUUCAACCAGUUCGUGGUGAGUAAUUGCUGUUCUGAUGUCCAGAAGUUAUUUUCGGUCAUAAGAGACGGUAGCAGCAACAUUAUGUACAAAAUAAGUACAAAAAUAAGC